CCCUUAGAUGUCCUGGGCCGCACGCGCGUUACACUGAUGCAUUCAACGAGCUUAUAACCUUGGCCGAGAGGCCUGGGCAAUCAUGCUAACGUGCAUCGUGAUAGGGAUAGAUUAUUGAAAUUAUUAAUCUUGAACGAGGAAUUCCUAGUAAACGCAGAUCAUCAAUCUGCAUUGAUUACGUCCCUGCCCUUUGUACACACCGCCCGUCGCACCUACCGAUUGGAUGGUCCGGUGAAGCCUCGGGAUUGUGGUUCUUGCCGCUUUAUUGUGGCGUGACCGCGAGAACUUGUCUAAACCUUAUCAUCUAGAGGAAGGUGAAGUCGUAACA
rnacentral:rRNA from 1 species